GUGAAGCCAUCCCAGACAGACAGGCACAACAGGAGGCAGCCAUGUUCGUCGAUACAGUGGUUCUCGCCGGCAUCGGCACCGUACUUCUGAUGGUCGCUUUCUUCGGGGGUGUUGGUUACUUCAUCUGGAAGGAUGCGCACAAGCGCAAGCAGAGCUGAUCCUUCCAGUUCAAUGGGCACGCAAGGCAAUUCGGGCGACUUCGGUCGCCCUUUUUUUAU
rnacentral:sRNA from 1 species